rnacentral:rRNA from 1 species
CCUGGCGACAAUAGCGAGCGGGAACCACCUGAUCCCAUUUCGAACUCAGAAGUGAAACCGCUCAGCGCCGAUGAUAGUCUAGGGUCUCCCUAUGCGAAAGUAGGACAUCGCCAGGU